GACGAACGCUGGCGGCGUGCUUAACACAUGCAAGUCGAACGGAAAGGCCCUGCUUUUGUGGGGUGCUCGAGUAGCGAACGGGUGAGUAACACGUGAGUAACCUGCCCUUGACUUUGGGAUAACUUCAGGAAACUGGGGCUAAUACCGGAUAGGAGCUCCUGCUGCAUGGUGGGGGUUGGAAAGUUUCGGCGGUUGGGGAUGGACUCGCGGCUUAUCAGCUUGUUGGUGGGGUAGUGGCUUACCAAGGCUUUGACGGGUAGCCGGCCUGAGAGGGUGACCGGCCACAUUGGGACUGAGAUACGGCCCAGACUCCUACGGGAGGCAGCAGUGGGGAAUAUUGCACAAUGGGCGGAAGCCUGAUGCAGCAACGCCGCGUGCGGGAUGACGGCCUUCGGGUUGUAAACCGCUUUCGCCUGUGACGAAGCGUGAGUGGCGGUAAUGGGUAAAGAAGCACCGGCUAACUACGUG
rnacentral:rRNA from 1 species